UUGAAAGUAAGGACAUACACUAGUCGAUUUUGGCAAAAACCAACCCCUCUAGCCAAAAAGCUUGCAUGUCUAGGUGUCGGUGGAAUAGUACCACCAGUUGGUUAACUCUUGUUGAGUGUAGUCGCUCAGCCUUGCUGUGGCAUAUCUCUUUUCAAGUGAGCUUGCUGCAAGUGGCACUUGGCCGCCCGAGCUUCUUCCUGGGUGGACGGUUGAGUGGGAUCCCUCCUCGGACGGUGAGGACCGGGAUCAUUGAUGUCAUUAUCGGCUUCGUCAUGAUAUUAUGCAAUGACGUCUAGCUUCCGCUUAUGUAUUUCUGCUUGAAACUCUGCAAACUUUGCUUGAAUUUCGAACUUAAGGUUGUAAUAAUUUGAUGCACUUAUUUGAUUUAUAUGGACUAUUAUAAUCUCUGGAACCACUCACCUUCCUGUGAGCUAUGCUUUCUCGAUCCUGUGUUAAGUGGUUUAUCGGAUGAAAUCCGACGGACAACCGG
rnacentral:lncRNA from 1 species